UACAGAGGUCUCAAGCGUUGUUCGGAUUCAUUGGGCGUAAAGGGUGCGUAGGUGGCGCCAUAAGUCAGGUGUGAAAUCUCGGGGCUCAACCCCGAAACUGCACUUGAUACUGUGGUGCUCGAGUACUGGAGAGGAGAUUGGAAUUUACGGUGUAGCAGUGAAAUGCGUAGAUAUCGUAAGGAAGACCAGUGGCGAAGGCGAAUCUCUGGACAGUUACUGACGCUGAGGCACGAAGGCCAGGGGAGCAAACGGG
rnacentral:rRNA from 1 species